rnacentral:rRNA from 1 species
GACGAACGCUGGCGGCGUGCUUAACACAUGCAAGUCGAGCGGUAAGGCCUCUUCGGGGGUACACGAGCGGCGAACGGGUGAGUAACACGUGGGUGACCUGCCCUCAGCUCUGGGAUAAGCCUGGGAAACUGGGUCUAAUACCGGAUAUGACCUUUCCUCGCAUGGGGUUUGGUGGAAAGUUUUUUCGGCUGGGGAUGGGCCCGCGGCCUAUCAGCUUAUUGGUGGGGUGAUGGCCUACCAAGGCGACGACGGGUAGCCGGCCUGAGAGGGCGACCGGCCACACUGGGACUGAGACACGGCCCAGACUCCUACGGGAGGCAGCAGUGGGGAAUAUUGCGCAAUGGGCGGAAGCCUGACGCAGCGACGCCGCGUGGGGGAUGACGGCCUUCGGGUUGUAAACCUCUUUCGACCCCGACGAAUUUGGACGGUAGGGGUAGAAGAAGCACCGGCCAACUACGUG